UUUCAGCCAUAUCAUUUCAACGGUUCUAAAAAACGGUGCUCUAGAAAAUUUGAGCUAUGUACUCCAAAUACCUUAUCGUUAAAAGUAUGCAGCAAUGCGCAAUUCUCACGUUAAUUAUCAAACUGCAGUCGAUAGAGUCGUCGCAGACCGAUGCAAAAGACGCCAAGUGUGGAGCACCACAAACUAGAAAGAUAACUAUGUAUAUUUUAGUGAUUGUAAUAUUUUUUUUAGUUGAAUUGUACAUGUUAUUUGUAAGCCUUAUUAUUUAAUUGUGGUUCAAUUUGUACUUGUUUUAAUAGUUUUUGCAACAAGUUCACAAUGGCUUUCCAGCAAUGGUCUUUUUCUUUAUUUUUGAGUCUGAACCACCACAGUUAAGUUUUCUGAUUUUUAUGCAGGAUUUUUUAUCGUUCAAAAGUUUUAAUAUCUAUAUCAAAGAGAGAAUCUCAAACCAGCAAAAAAAUACGACAUAAAAACAAAGAAGGUACGACUGUUUAAAAGGUUUUUUAUUUUUCAUUUCGAUAUUAGUAUGUAUUUGAAAGAUAAUGCUGGUUUGCUGCAUGAAUAAAAAGUGUUGUAAAUUUAUUGUAGUAGAUUAUCUUGUUUUCAUUUUUUAAUGAAAAUGAGUGCGGGUACUUUGAUUUAUAAAAGAUUGCGCUUAAUCUUCAAAAGACGAGAAAUGAAUGAAUAGACAAGAUAGGCAUGUCCAAAUGGUAUAGUUAAGUUAGACCGAGUCUGAUAAUCGGGAAAGUAACGGAUCAGUUUUGUCUCCAAAGUUUAGUAUACUUAUAUCAAACAGAUGUUCAGCAAAGAUGAUAGGAACAUUCCUAGGAAAACUUAAAAACCCAUUUGGUAAAAAAUGUGCAGAACUGGGUGAAUGAGUGUCCAUGAGGAAUAAAAUUCCUACUUCCCUUUAAAACCUAUCUUUCAAAGAACUACUUAGCAAAACAGCUUAAUAACCUAUCUAUACUUAAAUUUUGUGUUGAUAUCCACAAAUUGUAACGUUUCUCUAACAAAAUCUAAAAUAAACACUCUUAUUGCCUCUGUAUA